rnacentral:rRNA from 1 species
UAAAGGAAAUAAGAGCGCACAGUGGAUGCCUAGGCACCAAGAGCCGAUGAAGGACAGAGCCC